GUCAGGAUGGCCGAGCGGUCUAAGGCGCCAGACUCAAGGUUUCUCACACCUUCUCAGUUUAGUUAACUGAGUUUUCAUGAGUGUUCUGGUCCUCUCUGAGGGCGUGGGUUCGAAUCCCACUUCUGACA
rnacentral:tRNA from 1 species